AAUAGAGUUUUAAAAACAAUUUGGGUUGUCAGUUUUAUUAGACGUCAUUUGGAUGAUUGUUUUGCUGUUAAACGAAUUAUGCAGAAAAUGCUGCUCCGAGCCAUUGUUACCAUUUUGACUAAAAAUCACGAUCUGCAAUUGAACAAUGGUUCUCUUUAUACGACUUUCUCUACUUUCAUAUUUAUAUAAUACAAGGGUAGGAAGAAUGUACCCAUUGUUAAAAGUGUCUGUAACAUGUGCUACAAGAAACCAGGGAGGUAAUAAGAUUCAUAUGGGAAUGCAACAUAGAUUUACGGACGGACGUUGAUGUAAACAAACCAGGUCACCUGAAAAAUCUGCUAAGGUUACAUAUAGACUUAUAUUAUAGUAAAUUGAAAAUUACAUAACACUGUGCACAGUCUUAGAAUAUGAUAACAGAUAUUUGGUGGCGAAUUUUAUUACUUAUUAGAAUAUAUCUAUUUGAAAGAUACUAGAUGUAUUUAAAUAUUUAACGUACCGAAACAUGUUCUAAUUUGACAGAUUAAUGGCUAGAUAAAGCGACAUUACUUUAGUUAUAACGUUAUUAUUAUUUACUGAAAGCACUUUAUUUAAAGUUGGAUGAUGGUUCUCAUCGUCUGUUACCUUCCUAAAUAGUUUCAUUGUUUAUGUAUAUAGAUCUGUGAAUCCUGAUUUCUAUUUUGUAUUUAUUAAAUACAUGUAUGUAGCUAUAAUAGAAUUAUUUAUUUUG